CCCUGAAAGGUCAGAAGGCCGUCUUAUUCUCAAUAUGCAUUUUAUUUUAUUACCCAAUCUGCUCCUGACAUAAAAUAAAUCUCCAAAAAUUAAAUUCUGGCCCUCAAACCCCACAGCAGGACUUAAUUAACCUCACCUUCAAGGUGUACAAUAAUAGAGUAGAGGCAGCCAAGUAGCAACAUAUUUCUGAGUUGCAAUUCCUUGCCUCCACUAUGAGACAAACCUCAGCCAAUCUCCUGCACACAAGAACUCCAAACACCUGAACCGCAGCUGCCAGGGGUUCCGCCAGAACCUCCUCCCCCAGGAGCUUGUUACAAGUGCCAGAAAUCUGGCCACUGGGCCAAGGAAUGCCCACAGCCCGGGAUUCCUCCUAAGUCAUAUCCCAUCUGUGUGGGACCCCACUGAAAAUUGGACUGUUCAACUCACCUGGCAGCCACUCCCAGAACCCCUGGAACUCUGGCCCAAGGCUCUCUGACUGACUCCUUCCCAGAUCUUCUCGGCUUAGCAGCUGAAGACUGACGCUGCCCAAUCGCCUCGGAAGCCUACAGGAUCAUCACAGACGCUCUGGGUAACUCUCACAGUGGAGGAGCCCUGCAAGAAUCCAAGUAAAUAAAGCUAAACCUUCACUACUGAAAACCAGCUUCUAGGUAACUCAUGUAUCAUACACCUUAUAUCCUUGCAUGGAUUCCCCAAAUCUAGUCUCUGAGGCCCUCAGUGUAUUGGAUGAUACCUGCCAAUACUGGAAAGGCCAUGUGACCACACACCAAGAAGCUAGCUGUCUGCCAGCCAGGAAGAGAGCCCUGACCAGUAAUCAAAUUGGCUGAAGACUUGAUCUUGGACUCCUUGUCUCCAGAAAUGGCUGCUGUAGUAUCCUAGGGGUCUACUCCAGUCCCUGGUUACCUCGAAUUUUCCAGUCCCUGGAUGUCUCACCAGUGAAGGUUGUGAAACAGCAAAAAUGGCAGCCUGCACCCUCCUCUGGGAGCUCCAUCCCAAGAAGAUGUUGGCACUUCUUAGGAAGGAGCCAUCCAUGUCUGAAGAGAAGAAAUGAUAAUUAACUUCAUCAUGUGGAAAGCUUUAGAAGGAAGUAUCUUGUCCUUCUGUCCAAACCCGCCUCCUCCUUACCACCCCCAAUAAAAAUAAAAGCCAAACAAAUAAAACAUUAGCAGUAGCUCUGAGUUUCUUCCUUUCACUUUUUCUCUCUCUUCAUGCCUUUUCUCCUCCAUUCCUUCCUUCUUUCAAAUCAUUUUUACUAGUUUAAGAGAAUAAUUCAAUCUAUAUUUAGAAAUCAGACUUAAAACUUCAAAAAUUAUACUGAAAUAGCUUCCCCUUAAAGGGUGAAACAGUCAUGAUAAAAAUAACAACCGAUAGAAUAAAAUAAUAUAAAAUUAGCUGAGUUUAUAGUUUCUUUUACACCUCCAUAAUUUAUGUGGAUUUGGAAAUACAGACAGUAUACUGAAAACUAAGAAGUUUUCUAUGAAUUAUGAGAAUUUGCAAUCCACAUAGGCUUAAGUCUAAUGUUAGAAGAUAAAACAAAUUGACCUUAAAUAACUUUCUGACAUAACCUCCCCAUUUCAUGGAUGAAAAACCCUAAAGCUCUCAUAAGUAAAGUGAUUUACUUCAGGACACAAACUAGUUGAUUUAGUUUGGAUGUUUGUCCCCUCCAAAUCUCAUGUUGAAAUGGAAUCCCCAGUGUUGGAGGUGGGGCCUGGUGGGAGGUGUUUGUGUCAUGGGGCAGAUCCAUUAUCCUUAUGAGCUGCUUGGUGCUAUCCUUGUGAUAGUGAGUGAGUUCUCAUGAAAUCUGGUUGUUUAAAAAUUUGUGGCACCUCCCCACCAGCCUUGCUCCUGCUCUUGCGGUGUGAUAUGCCUGCUGCCUCUUCACCUUACACCGUGAUUAUAAGCUUCCUGAGGCCUCACCAGAAGCAGUU
rnacentral:lncRNA from 10 species